rnacentral:rRNA from 1 species
GAUGAACGCUGGCGGCGUGCCUAAUACAUGCAAGUCGAGCGAACGGACGAGAAGCUUGCUUCUCUGAUGUUAGCGGCGGACGGGUGAGUAACACGUGGAUAACCUACCUAUAAGACUGGGAUAACUUCGGGAAACCGGAGCUAAUACCGGAUAAUAUUUUGAACCGCAUGGUUCAAAAGUGAAAGACGGUCUUGCCGUCACUUAUGGAUGGAUCCGCGCUGCAUUAGCUAGUUGGUAAGGUAACGGCUUACCAAGGCAACGAUGCAUAGCCGACCUGAGAGGGUGAUCGGCCAAACUGGAACUGAGACACGGGCCAGACUCCUACGGGGGGCAGCAGUAGGGAAUCUUCCGCAAUGGGCGAAAGCCUGACGGAGCAACGCCGGGUGAGGGAUGAAGGUUUUCGGAUCGUAAAACUCUGUUAAUAGGGAAAAACAUAUGUUUAAGUAACUGUGCACAUCUUGACGGUACCUAAUCAGAAAGCCACGGCUAACUACG